rnacentral:rRNA from 1 species
GACAGAGGUGCCAAGCGUUAGGCGGAAUCACUGGGCUUAAAGCGUGUGUAGGUGGAUGUCUAAGUACCUUGUGAAAUCCCACGGCUCAACCGUGGAACUGCUUGGUAUACUGGAUGUCUUGAGCCACUUAGGGGCUACCGGAACAAAUGGUGGAGCGGUGAAAUGCGCAGAUAUCAGGAAGAACACCCGUGGCGAAGGCGGCUCUCUGGGACGGUACUGACGCUGAGACGCGAAAGCGUGGGGAGCGAACAGG